GGAUAACCCGGCGAAAGUCGGACUAAUACCGCAUGAAGCAGGGGCCCCGCAUGGGGAUAUUUGCUAAAGAUUCAUCGCUGAUAGAUAGGCAUGCGUUCCAUUAGGCAGUUGGCGGGGUAACGGCCCACCAAACCGACGAUGGAUAGGGGUUCUGAGAGGAAGGUCCCCCACAUUGGUACUGAGACACGGACCAAACUCCUACGGGAGGCAGCAGUGAGGAAUAUUGGUCAAUGGGCGUAAGCCUGAACCAGCCAAGUCGCGUGAGGGAUGAAGGUUCUAUGGAUCGUAAACCUCUUUUAUAAGGGAAUAAAGUGCGGGACGUGUCCCGUUUUGUAUGUACCUUAUGAAUAAGGAUCGGCUAACUCCGUGCCAGCAGCCGCGGUAAUACGGAGGAUCCGAGCGUUAUCCGGAUUUAUUGGGUUUAAAGGGUGCGUAGGCGGCCUUUUAAGUCAGCGGUGAAAGUCUGUGGCUCAACCAUAGAAUUGCCGUUGAAACUGGGGGGCUUGAGUAUGUUUGAGGCAGGCGGAAUGCGUGGUGUAGCGGUGAAAUGCAUAGAUAUCACGCAGAACCCCGAUUGCGAAGGCAGCCUGCCAAGCCAUGACUGACGCUGAUGCACGAAAGCGUGGGGAUCAAACAGGAUUAGAUACCCUGGUAGUCCACGCAGUAAACGAUGAUCACUAGCUGUUUGCGAUACACAGUAAGCGGCACAG
rnacentral:rRNA from 1 species